rnacentral:tRNA from 1 species
UCCCUGGCAGUCCAGUGGUUAAGACUCUGAGCUUCCAAGGCAGAGGAUGUAGGUUCAAUUCCUGGUCAGGGAA